UUGUUUUUUCCUGCAAAGAUCAAUGUCUCUGCUUUUCAAGUUUCUCUGCCGUCCUGUGAUGUGUUAUUUUUGAAUGAUCCACCAAUAGAAAUAUCUGAGAGUUUUUAGUACAGUUUCAGAAGAAAGGUUACUUUCCAAGUUUCAAGGAGAAGGUAAGUGAAGGGUAUGGCACAGUUCACUACGCAGGGUCGCUUAAAGAUGCUCUUCAAUGGUGAGGGUGUACCAUCUCUUUUAGAGCACAAGGACCCUUUUCUCUAUAAGUGUAGAUCAGUUCAGACCCACAAGCGAAGAACAAGGUACAUGGGUUCUUCUGCUAGAAUUUUCAAUGCAUCAUCUCUUAGUAGCAAAACCAAGCGUUGCAAUGCGGAGGCACGCCCCACUGCUUGUAAUGAGAGUGUUCGUGAUGAAUAUGAUGAUAAUGUUGAUGUUGAUGACGACGACGACGACGACGACGACGAUGAUGUGUUUGGGGGAGAUGGGUUGUCUUGCUUCCGGGGUUUGGUGUUGGAUAUAUCUUACAGUCACCAAUAUCAAGACACCUGCUCAGUUGUUUGCUUAUGGUUCUGACUGCUGUCAUCCUGCUCCAGGCCAGUAAAUGUCGUAGGCUGGAAACGUGCUAUAUGUUUGGAGUUUAUGGAGAAGGCUGAUGUACUGGAGUAUUAUGCUAAGACAGUGAACUCCCCAAGUGGAUCUUUCUAUAUACCAGCUGUCUUAAGGGUUCCUCAUUUACUUCAGGUUGUUAAAAGAAGAAUAGUCAAGAACAAUCUUAGUAGAAAAAAUAUACUUUUUCGGGACAAUUACACCUGUCAGUAUUGCUCUUCACGUGAGAAUUUGACCAUUGAUCACGUGGUGCCCACUGCAUUAGGUGGAGAAUGGACAUGGGAUAAUCUAGUAAGAUAAUCUUUUAUGCAUAUAGAAAAUACUUACUAUUUGAUUACUUAUGUAUUGUUGUCUAUUUUUCUAAAAUUUAUUAUAAUGAUAUUUACACGUGCACCGUAGAUGGUUUUUCAAAACACUUUGUAGGAGUUACUGAAUUUGUGAAUGAUCUCCUUAUAUAAAGCCUUUCUCUAUAGCUUGUCAGAGAAAAUCAGCAUUUGAGUUUUUGUCAGUGACAUUACAAUUCAUUUGUCUGUGUGAUCUGUGUGUGUGAUUAUAUACUGACAGAAGGCUUAAAGAUAUUUCUGCAUGUAAAUAGCUAAAGAUAGAUUUAAUGAAGAUGAUACAAUGAUUGAUUCAAUGGCUAUCAUUUGUCUCUUCUUGGGUAGAUUUGCCUAAAAUAUCAUUUCUCAGGGUUCUGUUGUUAUCCAUUUGUUUCCAAAGAAUUGCGUGUUUGUCAUGGAAGAAAAGGAAACACCCAGCCUUAGUAGCACUUGAUUUGGCCUUGGUUUGACAGAAAAGCUAAAUUAAAAUUUGAGCCAUAAUGCAAGUAGAAAUAGAAAGCUUAUGUUGACAUGAUUAAAUGAACGUAUUGUAUGCAAAGACGAUUGAACUUGACCUUUAAGAAUGCAUAAAAUGGGUUUUCUCUUUGAUUUCGAUUAGUGUCUGGAUUAUAAUUAGUAAUCCAGUGCAUUUCACUUUACUGCCAUCAUUAUCAAAAGCAAGCAAGUGAAAACCUAUUUACAAAUGUGGAGUUUCAAGUGGCCAGUUCUUAAUUGAAUGAAAAGGGAGUGAGUCCAAAGCCCCGUUAUUACAUGUCAACUAUCAACCUUUCACUUGAUAUAGAACUCAUACACAGGAUCUGCUGACAACAGGUGACUGCUUGUGUGAAAUGCAACUCAAAAAAGGGUAAAAAAACUGUAGAGGAAGCAAAAAUGAAGUUGAUUAAGGUCCCAAAGGUACUGUCUACUUAACUACAACAUAUAUACUUUCUUCAUAUGAUGGGUUGGCAUAAAAGGGCAACAUGAUGGCUACCAAGAAGGGGUUGCCAAUGUUUAAUUUCCAAUUUUUAAAUUGUUAAUUGAAAACAUAAUACCUAUGUCUACACAUUCAUGGGUUUCAUGUUCCCUCUAUCACUAUUAAGUAGAAUGCUGCUCUUGUUAUUCAGGCCCCAAAGGACUAUGACAUUCUUGCCAUACCUCUAACUGCUGCUGCUUUAAGAAUGCUGUCAGUAAGAAAGGGAACACCUGAUGAAUGGCGUCAGUAUCUAAGGUCUCCUUGAGUUAAUCUUUGGUGGUAGUUCUAUACUCCUGUAUGUCAUGCCAUGCACACUAAAUUUCCCCUUGCUCACCCAAAAACAAAAUUAAAAGAAAAAUAAAUCCUUUAAAAUUAGUAGAAAAGAUUCAUUGUAAAACAGUUCUAUUCAAUCCCAAUGAUUGUGUAAAAUUUAUUCAUAUUAAGUUCCUGUCAAAAGUUGUGUUAACAUU